GUUUAAAAUAUAUCGAUUUAGUAUCAUGUGGUUUCAUUUUUAUCUUUUUAUUAUCGAUUUCACUAAUUUUUUUUUAAAAUCAGUGACAAAGUUAAAACUAAAGGGUACUAAAGUGAAUAUUUGAUAAACCUAGUUAGGAUAUCUGAAGUUUUUUGUAUAUAAUUUAACAAAAUAUUAACAGAAAAACUGACGAAAAGAUAAAAAGAAAGUUACAGGACACUAAUUUGAUACACUUUAAACUAUAAGGUAUUAAAAUGAGAAAAUACGAAACCACAUGAGUGGUAUUUGACGCUUACCAUUUAUUUUUUAGAAAUGAACUUAGCUGGAAAUGUAAAUCAAUUCUGAUUCGAACUUGGGACCUCGGAUACCAAUCACUGUGUCCUUUGCCACUUGCAUUAGGGACGGUCGGUAUCCAAGCUGGCAUUUCCAUAUACAAAUGGAUAAGAGUAUAGGCUGCUAAUUAAGAGUCCAUAUGCUACUAAUAAAAGAGUAAGUAAUUGAUACGGCAAUUGUUUAUAUAUUCUUGAAAAGUUUUCGAAUUUUCGAUUUACUUUUCUUAGAAAGUUAAUAUUAAACAUAUUCUUUUUAUUUUCCAAGUUAUUUCAAAUAUAUCUCUAGAGUUAAAUUAUAUUAGUGAACUGUUAACAAUAGUUGUUAUCUCUGUAAAAUUAUUAUUUUAUCAUUUUUAAUAUAUCCUUCUAUCAUUGCCAACUUUUCUUAUUUGCUCUUAAGCUAAGGGCAAAAUAGAUAUUUUGAUUUUUUUUUAACUCUGAUAGAUAUUUAACUUACGUUUAAUCUAAAAUAACUUAACAGGUGGUAAUUAUGCGGUUAUUUUUGAAUAACGAAAAAAAAUAUGAGGAGUAUAUUGAAAACAAAAAAAAAAUGGAGAUAAUAUAUUUUCGAAGUUUUGAGAGAUAUAUAGACAAUUACCCCUAAUUGAUAUAUAGAGUGAGGCUACUAUGCUUCUGAAAGUAUGGAGCCUUUCGUAAUUCCAUGUCGUUUUUCAUGUUGCGACUUUCGAAUUGUUGAUCGGCUCCGUUAAACUUGAUCUAGAGUAUUUGAAGUACCUAAAAAAUAAAUUUUUUCGAUAUUAUUUGCCUAGUGAACGAAGGGGCUUAAAAUCAACGGCUGAAAAUAAAAAUCUUACAAAACGUGAUAAUAUGACAUUAAAAUUUUAGAUCAAAGAUAUUGAUCUUGUUUUAUAUAGUAUAAAGAAUUUUCUAUCAAAAUUUCACGUGAUUUGGAUAUUUCUAUACCGUUAAACUUGCAAACGGCUCACUACGACCAUUAAAAUUAUUGAUUUUGAGCCCCUUCGAUCACUAGGCAAAUAAUAUCGAAAAAUCAUAAAGUUUAUUUUCUAGGUACUUCAAAUACUCUAGAUCAAGUUUAACGGAGCAGAUCGACGAUUCGAAAGUCGCAAUAUCGAAAAUGACCUGAAAGCAUGAAAGGCUUCGUACUUCUAAAAGCAUAGUAGCCUCACUCUAUACUUACUAUCCAAACUUAAUAGUUUAAGU
rnacentral:lncRNA from 1 species